rnacentral:pre_miRNA from 1 species
AUCAUACUCCCUCUGUUCGGAAUUACUUGUCUCGGAAAUGGAUGUAUCUAGAACUAAAAUAUGUCUAGAUACAUCCAUUUCUGCGACAAGUAAUUUCGAAUGGAGGGAGUAUGUG